GAUGGGGGUGCGGUGACCGCUCCGCUGUUUCCAGUCCCCCUGGAACGGACCCCGGUACCAGGGUCUGCUGCAGCAUCCCGAGGCUUUCAGGACUUUAAAGCUGCAGUGUUUUCACCAAGGAAAACAAAGGACAAAUGUCUUCACAGAGCUUUCUUGAAGACAGACUGGAGAAUGAGGCUGUCAGAUCUCUGCAGGAUGUCAUCCAGGGGACUUCUUCCCAUGUUCUCACUUCCCUCUGGAAAGGGCGGCCUCUCCUUGAGGCACACACCACACAAGGCUACAAGCUUUUAAAGAGUCUUGCAGCACAUCAGUGGUCAAGGUCAGAAUCCCAUUAUGAAGCUAAAAAAUGAAGUCGACAUUUAGUCUGAAAAGAAAGUUUUGUUAUAGUGGUGCUAAUAAACUAACAGUUUUGUGAAGUUUUGAAGAUUCUGGAAGAAGUUUCCUCACAAAGAAAUCUCAUUGAAGAAUGUUCACUGGAUGCUACAGCAAUUGACCAGCCUUGCAGUUUCUGCUCUGCAGUGGUAGUUAGACAAACAUCCAGGAGUAGGAAUCUGCGUGGACAGCCCAUCUAUAUGCUGUACACCAGCCUCCAGUUAGGGGGAUCAGCACAGCUGCAUGAAAGCAUCAGCCUUAUUCCUGUGCUGCCUGUCUCAAGGAAUGGGGGAUGUGAGCAGCAUAGAAGUGUGUUUAUACAAAUGCUUGCUGUGAGUGGAAAACAGCUCUUAACACUUCUGUCUUGUUCUAAUGGAUAGCACACUAUGACCAUCUUAAUGUUCACUGUUUUCAGGACCUAAUUACUUCUGCAUAAUACAUUCAUUUGAGGAUUUAAUUUGCUUUUAGAUUCCAGUGAUGGGAGAAGCAUUUCUGAAGUCAGUUUCCAGAGACACUUAGGUUUCAACCUUCCCAAAUGUUGGCAUAAUAAUGGUUUUCUGCCCAUAAAGAUGGAAGGGGCUUUUACAGGUCUCUGCAGCUAAUCUGUGGAGCUACUGUGAAAUGUCCAUACAUGAGGAUAUUCUCUAAGGUGAUUAUUCUCCAGAGUCUUUGCAGAUGCUUCUAACUAAGCAAAGUGACUGGGCCUGCACUUUUUCAUCUCAAUUCAGUGGCAAUCCUCCUGGUUCUCGGGAGCAAUUUUAGGCUUGACUUCUUCCAACUCUUAUUUUUCAUUCCAGCAAUGUUGACACAAGCCCUGCAGCCUGUCUAGCAGCAGGGACAGAGCAAAAAUAACAAGCACUUUCUGCUUUUAAAUUCAGAGAUUCACACAUCCAACCAAGGAAAAACAAUCAAUGACUAUUUAGGUGUUUCUGCCUGAACAAGAUGUCUUUAAAUUAAGUCUUGCUACUUGUCAUACGAGACUUGAAAAUAAGAACACUCUGACAACACUUCCUAAUUCAGCCACUAAACAGCAAAGAAGGAAGUUUCAUUGGGUUGUUUGGCCAGGUGACAGGCCUUGUAUUUCCACCAGGGUUCUUUGUCGGGGAAGUGUUUUUCCUUAGGGUAUCUGUCACAGUGAACAAACUACCUUUAGGGAGCAUAGGGACUGAGGAGAAAAUGAAAAUACUCAAUUUAUGACCUUGUAAUUAAGCAGCAGUUAAUGAUAAUUCUCAGAUUACUAUCUUGGUUCAAGGAACUCAUUAGUUUUAGAACUAAUUGCUGGUGCAAGGGACAGAACAGAGUCACACAGCUGGAGGCAUAGGGAGGGUAGAAUUGGGGCAGCCUGGUUUUAGACCAGCAUCAACUGGGUCACUAUUAAGCAUAGUCAUAUCUAAUUGCAAGUAAUUGUAAAAAAAUAUAGUCUCAUUCCUCUUUUUUCCUACCCAUGCCAUAUUCUUGCUUGCAUAAAUUGUAGGGGUUGCCCCAGUGGAUCUAACUCAGAAUACUGAUCAGAUAGAUCAAGAACUGUCAGAACUUCUUGGCACAGGGUUAGACAUUCCUGGGACAAAGACUGAAAUAUUUACUCUGCCUUCAUCCUGAUGUGGUAAGACCUGCUUCUUGGUGCCAGUAAUUCUAGGAUUGCAACACAUCGUGCUGUUGAUCUUUGCUUAUGUUGACAAGGGUCAGCUGUAACCUGCUUAUUUAGAAAAGAAAGAUCCCAAACAUUUAUUUAAUUACCACUUGCCAGAGAGAAUUCCAGGGCCUCUGGGGCCACCCUGUGACAUUGCUCUUCUCAGGAUGCUUCCAGGUAGAAUUGGAACACAACUCAAUUAGGUUUAACUAUGACAAGGUAGUGGAGUGUGGAGUAAAUAUUAUUGUUUCAUUAGCAGUUCUGCAUUUAAUUUAGAUAGGAGUUUCUGCACAAAUGAGAAACUGUUGCACUUGUUAAUGAUAGCACCACCCCAUGGAAUAACUGUACCCCACAGCAGACACUGACUAUGUGGAUGAGCCCUGCAGAGUGCUCAGCCCCUGAGGCGGGGAGGAAGGCUGAAUGAAACAGAUGCAUUGGGAGCACAUCUCACGGAGCCUUCAGGUUUUCGUUGGCAGCAGGAAGUAUCUUUUCUGAUUCUCUCUUUGGCAGAGGUCACAGCACGUGUGGGCAGUUUGUAGCCAGACUUCUGCCUGCUCUCUCCUGUUCCUCAUCCACAGACAAAGUGACCAAGCAAGGCCAGUGACUGUUGAGCCAGAACUCUGUACUGGCAGGAGACAGUUACCUUUCAAACUGGAGUGCCUUUGUUUUUCUGUACUAAGUUCAGUGUGGGAGCUGCCUCUUCUGAGCUGAUAAACUCCCUCUUGAAGCUGUUGUUAUCAGGCAUCUGAAAACAUCACACCAAUUGCCAAGUGCUGUUUUAUUUAACAAUCUUUGUUUUAUCAGAAGAAACUCUAAAUUCUCUUCAUGCACUGCUUUUUCUACUUUGAUAACAACAUCCCAUUUGCAAUUGUAGGGUGAUUCAAACACAGAAUUUCAGAGAGCAGAAAGACUGUCACAAAUCUGACAGAAUCGUGGACACAGAAACGAAAACAUCAGCUUUGCAGUAACUUUGUUAUGUGACAUUCACCCCUAGGGAAUAAACCAGUACUUUCCACUUUCUUCUCUGCAACUCCCUACUGAAAGAGCAAAAUUUAUACAAGAACAGGACCAAAACCACCCCCAAAUGUAGGGAGGCACAGUGGUUCAUAUCUACAAGACUGGGGACUCUCAUGAUACUGAAGGGCCUGCCUGACAAACCAAGGGUGGCAUCAUAGGAUCUGACCAGGGCAGUAUGCUGCAAAUCACUCAACGCCCAGUGAGUCCACAGUGACCAACUGUUUCUGGAAAGUGUAAGACUUUGUUUGACUACUGAUGCAUCAGAGAAGAAGGCGGUCUUCUUGGCAUGUCAGGAUCCACGUCCUGUGCACACCCUGUGACUGUAACCUCAAGUGGCAGUGCCUUGAAUUCAGCAUCCAGCUCUUGCCUUCCAUGUACACCCCAGCACGUCACAGCCAGGCUCAGCUUUAGCUUCAGGCAUACUAGUGUGACCUGGGAGAGCUACAGGGGAAAGACAAGACAGCUGGGGGCGAAGGGGCAAGGAGAGGAUUUGAGUGCGAAAAAUACUGGCUGGUGUUCAUAAAUUCUUGAACUUCAUGUGAAAAACUUUAAGUACUAAUGAGCACUGAUUUGAAAUAAAAGUCAAGUUGUAUAAAUUCCAA